CUCUUCCUUUUUUAUUAGUUUAUUUUUUUUAUGUUCCAGAAACAGCUGCCCUUGCAAGUUGCUGCUUGCUAGAGACCAAUAUUUCUCAGGCCUGUUCAGCCAUACCAAUCACCAGGAAGAUUGUUGAGGAUUCCUGCAAGCCUACAUUUCAAACCUGAAGAACUGAAGGAAUGUAACUGCUACCUACAUGAGGACGUAAAGAGAAGAUGUACUACAGGAACAUCCUUAGAAUACUGUGAAAACGCUUGGGACAUAAUACAACUUAACUGCAACAAAGCAUUUGCCAAGUACCCAAUG